AAGGGGGGUGCAAGCGUUGUUCUUAAUUAUUCCUCUUCCCUCCCUUUUAGGCGGAUGAAUAAGUCAGAUGUGAAAUCCCUGGGCUUAACCCAGGACGCGCCUUUGAAACUGUUCAAAUAGAGUAGGCGAGAGGAAUAAGGAAUUUCUGGGUAAAUGGUGAGAUUCGUAGAAAGCAGGAGGAACACCGAAGGUGAAGGCGAUGAACAUAAUAAAUACUGACGCUAGUACGCAAGAGCAUAGGAAACAAACAG
rnacentral:rRNA from 1 species